UCUAUCUAUCUAUCUAUCUAAAUGGAAACUUAAUCCUUGAGUAUUUCCAGGUAGAACUGAUGAACAGCCUUUGACUGUGUUUUUUGAUGAGCGCUUAUGUGAUGUGCUUAAUAUGAAGGUUUUUUUUAUGAAGGUUUGAGCUUUAAAGGUGUCCGGAUUGAUUUGGAGUGUUCCCAUAUCAAAGCGCUCAGAUCUGAAGUGAAUCCAGCACACCCCCGGCAAUGAUCACAGUCUCAUGUACAGUCAGUAGAUCUUCCAGCGCAGUAAACAUGUGAAUCUGGACGCAUCAAACACCUUUCUAAUAAUACUGCACUGAGAGUCCUGUGUCAGCUCCAGAAUAACCCGCAGCGCUCGCAGCACACAGCAGAUGUCUCGUAAAUGCCUGUGAUUAAUGGAGGCCGUGUGUGACAUAUGCUUCAGCAGAUGCUUCACAUGACAGGAGAAGACUUACCGGUGUAAAACACUGACCCUCAGACACCCGUCCCUCAGGAACACGACAGCUCUGUUCCACAGCCAGCAGUUGGAGCUCCUCUUGAAGUUGUGAAAUGUAUGAAGGUUUGUGAUGAAUCUGACCCGGAAUCAACAGAUGACAAAUCAGAGCAUCUCUUUGUUCGCUGAGCUUCGGGAUGCAGCUGUUUUCUGAUCCUCUCAGUUCAAAGUGAAUCUUUGUCAGUCUCUCACGCUUCACUGACAGCUCUGCUAAUUUACUGGCAACAAAAGGCGCAGUGCUGCACUGCUGGGUGACAUAAGCUGCUUACAGCUGUGUGUGUUUGUGUCUCU
ensembl:lncRNA